rnacentral:rRNA from 1 species
GACGAACGCUGGCGGCGUGCUUAACACAUGCAAGUCGAACGGUAAGGCCCUUCGGGGUACACGAGUGGCGAACGGGUGAGUAGCACGUGGGUGAUCUGCCCUGCACUUCGGGAUAAGCCUGGGAAACUGGGUCUAAUACCGGAUAGGACCACUGCCUGCAUGGGUGGUGGUGGAAAGCUUUUGCGGUGUGGGAUGGGCCCGCGGCCUAUCAGCUUGUUGGUGGGGUGAUGGCCUACCAAGGCGACGACGGGUAGCCGGCCUGAGAGGGUGACCGGCCACACUGGGACUGAGAUACGGCCCAGACUCCUACGGGAGGCAGCAGUGGGGAAUAUUGCACAAUGGGCGCAAGCCUGAUGCAGCGACGCCGCGUGAGGGAUGACGGCCUUCGGGUUGUAAACCUCUUUCAGCACCGACGAAGCGCAAGUGACGGUAGGUGCAGAAGAAGGACCGGCCAACUACGUGCCAGCAGCCGCAGUAA